rnacentral:rRNA from 1 species
AGAGUGAACGCUGGCGGUAGGCCUAACACAUGCAAGUCGAACGGCAGCACAGUAGGAGCUUGCUCUUACGGGUGGCGAGUGGCGGACGGGUGAGGAAUACAUCGGAAUCUACCUUUUGGUGGGGGAUAACGUAGGGAAACUUACGCUAAUACCGCAUACGCCCUUCGGGGGAAAGCCGGGACCAGCAAUGGCCUGGUGCUGAUAGAUGAGCCGAUGUCGGAUUAGCGUAGUGGUGAGGUAAUGGCUCACCAAGGCGACGAUCCGUAGCUGGUCUAGAGAGGAUGACUCAGCCACGACUGGGAACUGAAGACCACGGUACCGACGUACUCCGUA